AUCUGGCUGAUGAGUCCCGGAUAGGAUGAAACGCACGUACUGGAU
rfam:Schistosoma margrebowiei strain Zambia genome assembly, scaffold: SMRZ_contig0000679